rnacentral:rRNA from 1 species
CCUACGGGAGGCAGCAGUGGGGAAUAUUGGGCAAUGGAGGAAACUCUGACCCAGCAACGCCGCGUGAAUGAUGAAGGUCUUCGGAUUGUAAAGUCUUUUUCUAAGGGAAGAAGAAAGUGACGGUACCUUAGGAAUAAGCCUCGGCUAACUACGUGCCAGCAGCCGCGGUAAUACGUAGGAGGCAAGCGUUAUCCGGAUUGACUGGGCGUAAAGGGUGCGUAGGUGGUUUGACAAGUUGGUAGCGUAACUCCGAGGGUUAACCUCGGCACUACUACCAAAACUGUUGGACUCGAGUGCAGGAGAGGCAGAUGGAAUGCGUGGUGUAGCGGUGGAAUGCGUAGAUAUUAGGAGGAACACCAGUGGCGAAGGCGAUUUGCUGGACUGUAACUGACACUGAGGCACGAAAGCGUGGGGAGCGAACAGGAUUAGAUACCCGAGUAGUC